AGUGUUUGCUGAUGGCUCAGAUUGAACGCUGGCGGCAUGCCUCAUACAUGCGAGUCGAACGGUAACAUAGGAGCUUGCUCCUGAUGACGAGUGGCGGACGGGUGAGUAAUGCAUAAGAAUCUGCCUAUUAGCGGGGGACAACGUGUGGAAACGCACGCUAAUACCGCAUACAUCCUACGGGGAAAAGGUUGCCUCUUCAUGAAAGCAAUCGCUAAUAGAUGAGCUUAUGUCAGAUUAGCUAGUUGGUAGGGUAAGAGCCUACCAAGGCGACGAUCUGUAGCCGGCCUGAGAGGGUGAACGGCCACACUGGGACUGAGACACGGCCCAGACUCCUACGGGAGGCAGCAGUAGGGAAUAUUGGACAAUGGGGGCAACCCUGAUCCAGCAAUGCCGCGUGUGUGAAGAAGGCCUGCGGGUUGUAAAGCACUUUCAGUAGGGAGGAAAUACUUAAAGUUAAUAGCUUUAAGAGUUGACGUUACCUACAGAAGAAGCACCGGCUAACUCUGUGCCAGCAGCCGCGGUAAUACAGAGGGUGCGAGCGUUAAUCGGAAUUACUGGGCGUAAAGGGUACGUAGGCGGCUACUUAAGUCUGAUGUGAAAUCCCCGUGCUUAA
rnacentral:rRNA from 1 species